CGGGGUGCAGCAGGCGCGAAAACUCUACAAUGCAGGCAACUGCGAUAGGGGAACAUCGAGUGAUCCUCAUAUUGGGGGUCUGUCCACCCGCCUAAAAAGCGGGUGUUAGCAAGGGCCGGGCAAGACCGGUGCCAGCCGCCGCGGUAAUACCGGCGGCUCGAGUGGUGGCCGAUAUUAUUGAGUCUAAAGGGUCCGUAGCCGGCUUUGCAAGUCUCUCGGGAAAUCCAGCGGCUUAACCGUUGGUCGUCCGGGGGGUACUACAUUGCUUGGGACUGGGAGAGGUAGGAGGUACUCAGGGGGUAGGAGUGAAAUCCUGUAAUCCUUUGGGGACCACCGGUGGCGAAGGCGUCCUACCAGAACAGGUCCGACGGUGAGGGACGAAAGCUAGGGGCACGAACCGGAUUAGAUACCCGGGUAGUCCUAGCCGUAAACGAUGCUCGCUAGGUGUCACAACAGUCGUGAGCUGUUGUGGUGCCGUAGGGAAGCCGUGAAGCGAGCCACUUGGGAAGUACGACCGCAAGGUUGAAACUUAAAGGAAUUGGCGGGGGAGCACAAGGGCAAUUCGCG
rnacentral:rRNA from 1 species